rnacentral:tRNA from 2 species
UCUUCCUUGGUCUAGUGGUCAUGAUUUCCGCUUGUCACUAAAUCUGAUGAGCGCGGGAGACCGGGGUUCGAUUCCCCGAGGGAGAG